UGGGAUGUGGCUCAGUGGUAGAGUGCUUACUUCACACGUGUGAGGCACUGGGUUCAAUUCUCAGCACUGCAA
rnacentral:tRNA from 1 species